rnacentral:rRNA from 1 species
UACGGGGGGGAGCAAGCGUUGUUCGGAUUUACUGGGCGUAAAGCGCACGUAGGCGGAUUGUUAAGUCGGGGGGUGAAAUCCUGGAGCUCAACUUCAGAAUUGCCUUCGAUACUGGCUUUCUAGAGGCUGGAAGAGGUUAGUGGAAUUCCCAGUGUAGAGGUGAAAUUCGUAGAUAUUGGGAAGAACACCAGUGGCGAAGGCGGCUAACUGGUCCAGAUCUGACGCUGAGGUGCGAAAGCGUGGGGAGCAAACGGGG